rnacentral:piRNA from 1 species
UGACUUCUUUGAGCAGCAGG